rnacentral:rRNA from 1 species
AAUAGAUACCCCGGUAGUCCACGCCGUAAACGAUGUCGACUUGGAGGUUGUUCCCUUGAGGAGUGGCUUCCGGAGCUAACGCGUUAAGUCGACCGCCUGGGGAGUACGGCCGCAAGGUUAAAACUCAAAUGAAUUGACGGGGGCCCGCACAAGCGGUGGAGCAUGUGGUUUAAUUCGAUGCAACGCGAAGAACCUUACCUACUCUUGACAUCCACGGAACUUUUUCAGAGAUGAAUUGGUGCCUUCGGGAACCGUGAGACAGGUGCUGCAUGGCUGUCGUCAGCUCGUGUUGUGAAUGUUGGGUUAAGUCCCGCAACGAGCGCAACCCUUAUCCCUUGUUGCCAGCGGUUAGGCCGGGAACUCAAAGGAGACUGCCAGUGAUAAACUGGAGGAAGGUGGGGAUGACGUCAAGUCAUCAUGGCCCUUACGAGUAGGGCUACACACGUGCUACAAUGGCGCAUACAAAGAGAAGCGACCUCGCGAGAGCAAGCGGACCUCAUAAAGUGCGUCGUAGUCCGGAUUGGAGUCUGCAACUCGACU